UAAGAGGCUAUUGUAAUAUUGCAGGUAGGAGAUCAUGAGCCUCGGUGGCUUGAGUGGACAUGGAAAGAGGAAAUGUGUAAUGUGAAGUUAACCUCAAUGUGAUGUGCCAAGGGCAUGUGAAAUCACAAGGAGAAAGUGCAGUAUUUACUGAGUGAGCAGCUAUUCCAGUCAAUGAGAAGGGAAAUUACUUAUCAUCAAACUUAAUGCAUGAAGAGGCAGGGGAUUCUAGGAAGAUGGACGUUUCUGCAUUCUUGCUACUCUCAACUCCAUUCCAACUCAUCUGUCUCUCCUCAGCCAGUGACUCCUGAGGGCAGUGUCAGACAUUUCAGCUAGUGCCUCUGUACUCUGAAAAAUACCUGGAAAGGACACACCAGAAAGAAGAAGCCACUGAACAGGAAAAGGCCAUGAGAGAUGAGAAGAUGAUCAACGGAAGAGGAUAUAGGAUGAAGAUACACAAGUUCGGGUGGGGAGGAGAUGAAGAAAAAGAAGAGGAUAAUUGGAAGGAAAUAUCUUUCUCUACCCCUGACCAAAUUGACUGGUUUGAGUUUGUUGCCUGACGUAAGCAGCAUCAAUGGGCCCAAGGCUGUGGUACAUAAAGCCCACAAACUAUGUGGAUCACGGUAUUCAUCCAGAUUGGAGAAGAAUAAGGCUGCCAUUUUAGGCCAAAAGGGAGGAGAAUAAGAAGUAAACAUGUGCCUGUCUGGGCCGUUGAAGAAUGAGAGGUUUGUGAAGCAAAGCUGAGAUGCUUCAGUCUUCCAACCAUGGACAUCGUCAGUCAGCUGACAGCCAGCUAACCCCAGACAUGAGAAUGAGCCCAGCCAAGAUCAGUAGCACCACCGAAGCCACUAACAGUCAACCACAGAGGAACAUUUGGCUAAUAAGAUUAUACCAGAUCAUCCACCAAUGUGCCAUCCUAACUAUGUAAAUGACAGAGAUCUGAAGAUCAUUUUGUUUUCUAUAUGACAAAGUGAAAGUUAUUUACCUCUAUACUAAACAUGUACUGGAAUUGAUAUCAUUAAAUUUUGCCUUA
rnacentral:lncRNA from 1 species